UGAGGAAUAUUGGGCAAUGCCCGCAAGGGUGACCCAGCAACGCCGCGUGGAGGAUGAAUGUCGUAAGAUUGUAAACUCCUGUUAGAGGGGAAGAAUAGUACCGGUUGGACCGGUAUAUGACUGUACCCUCAGAGAAAGCCCCGGCUAACUACGUGCCAGCAGCCGCGGUAAUACGUAGGGGGCAAGCGUUGUCCGGAUUUACUGGGUGUAAGGGCGCGCAGGCGGGAUAAAAAGUCAGUGGUGAAAUCCUACAGCUUAACUGUAGAACUGCCUUUGAUACUUUUAUUCUUGAGUUCGGGAGAGAGAGACGGAAUUCCAGGUGUAGUGGUGAAAUACGUAGAUAUCUGGAAGAACACCAGUUGCGAAGGCGGUCUCUUGGCCCGACACUGACGCUGAGGCGCGAAAGCGUGGGGAGCAAACA
rnacentral:rRNA from 1 species